ACGCUCGACACCUACGGGAGACAGCAGUGGGGAAUAUUGCACAAUGGGGGAAACCCUGAUGCAGCGACGCCGCGUGAAGGAAGAAGUAUCUCGGUAUGUAAACUUCUAUCAGCAGGGAAGAAAAUGACGGUACCUGACUAAGAAGCCCCGGCUAACUACGUGCCUGCAGCCGCGGUAAUCUGAGCGGGCUGGCAAGGC
rnacentral:rRNA from 1 species